rnacentral:rRNA from 1 species
UACAGAGGUGUCAAACGUUGUCCGGAAUUACUGGGCGUAAAGGGCGCGUAGGCGGCUAAUUAAGUCGGGUGUGAAAGCCCCGGGCUCAACCUGGGAAUUGCAUCCGAUACUGAUUGGCUAGAGUAUGAGAGAGGGAGGUAGAAUUCUCGGUGUAGAGGUGAAAUUCGUAGAUAUCGAGAGGAACACCGGUGGCGAAGGCGGCCAACUGGACAGAUACUGACGCUGAGACUCGAAAGCGUGGGGAGCAAACAGG